CCUACGGGAGGCAGCAGUGGGGAAUAUUGGACAAUGGGGGGAACCCUGAUCCAGCCAUGCCGCGUGUGUGAAGAAGGCCCUCGGGUCGUAAAGCACUUUCAGUGAGGAAGAACGCCUGGUGGUUAAUACCCAUCAGGAAAGACAUCACUCACAGAAGAAGCACCGGCUAACUCCGUGCCAGCAGCCGCGGUAAUACGGAGGGUGCGAGCGUUAAUCGGAAUUACUGGGCGUAAAGCGCGCGUAGGUGGCUUGAUAAGCCGGUUGUGAAAGCCCCGGGCUCAACCUGGGAACGGCAUCCGGAACUGUCAAGCUAGAGAGCAGGGGAGGAAGGUAGAAUUCCCGGUGUAGCGGUGAAAUGCGUAGAGAUCGGGAGGAAUACCAGUGGCGAAGGCGGCCUUCUGGACUGACACUGACACUGAGGUGCGAAAGCGUGGGUAGCAAACAGGAUUAGAUACCCCGGUAGUC
rnacentral:rRNA from 1 species